rnacentral:rRNA from 1 species
AACGAACGCUGGCGGCAUGCCUAACACAUGCAAGUCGAACGAGACCUUCGGGUCUAGUGGCGCACGGGUGCGUAACGCGUGGGAACCUGCCCUUAGGUUCGGAAUAACUCCCCGAAAGGGGUGCUAAUACCGGACAAUGUCUUCGGACCAAAGAUUUAUCGCCUUUGGAUGGGCCCGCGUUGGAUUAGCUAGUUGGUAGGGUAAAAGCCUACCAAGGCGACGAUCCAUAGCUGGUCGGAGAGGAUGAUCAGCCACACUGGGACUGAGACACGGCCCAGACUCCUACGGGAGGCAGCAGUGGGGAAUAGUGGACAAUGGGCGAAAGCCUGAUCCAGCAAUGCCGCGUGAGUGAUGAAGGCCUUAGGGUUGUAAAGCUCUUUUACCCGGGAUGAUAAUGACAGUACCGGGAGAAUAAGCUCCGGCUAACUCCGUG